UCUCCCGAUCGAUCGCCGAGUAAGAGGGUGGACUGGCCUCGCACCACCUUCUUAAAUGCAUCGCUGCAAUGGCGGGCAGAGAGGCUGAGAAGCACUCUCAGCAAGCAAGGUGGCCCGCAAGCAUCCCAAAAAUUGCCUUCUAUCAUCGAACCCCUUGUAAAGAACAAAGAGACGAUGAGAAAAAUUUUGAAUGGAAAAACUUCACUGCUGGCCAAAAAAUAUUUCCUAUAUCUCCCAUACCAAAGGUGAUAUUAAGACAAGUAGUAAAAUGGGCGGAACAAACAAUCCAUCUUUGUAGAAGACGAAGGUUUUAGAUUGAUUGUCAGAAUGCCAAACAAUGGCAGCAAAUUGGUUUUGAAGAAGAGAAUGAAAAUGAAGAUGGAAGAUGGAAAGUGCAAAGCAUACGUGCAUUUAUAAGGGGGUGGAGAUGAAGAGACGGAAUAUGAGCAGCCACAUUCUGCCUAGUAAGUGGAAUUAAGUAGCCCAAAAUCUUGGGAAGAGAGGUGGAAAUAUCAAGAGAAAAUGUGCAAGAUUUUUAGCACAAAGCGGUUGAAUGCUUGAAAGACUGGCGAUUAAAAGACAAACGUCAUAUAAAUGCACAAGAAGUUAACAUAGAUAUUCGUUAAUGAUAUACAAAGUUACAAAGGGAAAGUCAAAUGCAAAAUUACAAAAAGAAAAAAUUAAGGCAUUAUAUGUCUUAAUUACAAUCCGCCCCAUACCGAACGAAUUCUUUCCCUAAGUUUUUCCCAGUCCUCGUUUUGCCGAGAGGAAGUGAUGUUCAAUUCGGCCACGACAUCAUCAUCAACUUCCAACUUCUUAUACUACUCGACCAAGGACUUCGUUCUCUCAAUUUCUUAGGAGGCGUUACGCUUUUUCGCAGCCAUUCUGGCCUUGCAGUCGUCCAUUUUGGCCUGAAGUUCCUUCAUCUGAGCAGCCAAACUAGCCAUCAAAGAGUCUUCAAUCAUGACUUCAGAAGAGAUUUCUUUCAACCCGUCCUUAGCUUUGUUGAUCUCCUGAUGCAAAGACUCUUUUUCAGAUACGGCGCGAAGAUAUUGAGUACUUUUGGCCUUCAGUUCAACAUUCUUGGCCAGCAAGGAGAGGACCUCGGAAUGGAUAACUUUCAACGUCACUUUAAAAUCAGCAGAAAGAUUGAGCGACGGAAGUGUCAGUGCUUGCUCUAACUUCGCAUUCAAAUGUUCAAGCUUAUCCUUAUGUCUGGCAGCACUAGCCUUACCAAUGUCCAUAUCCAUGAAGGACACGUAUUCAAAUAUCGACUGCUUGAGGAACCUCAUAUCUUCCUCUGAAGAAGUAGCAAAAUGACCAGAUGGAGUAGGGCCAGGAAGCGAACAAGUAUUGGAUAGAACGCACAAUCUUAUCAGCGUCUUGCAAAGAAAAUUGCCAAUACUGAAGAUUCUCACUACAACGAUCAAGAUGGAGAUAAAAAUGAAACAAAGAUUACCUCAUCAAUAAUCUUGGAAGAUGGCAUAUCCUCAGCCAAGUCUGCCACCUGUGGCUCCACCAUUCACGAGGACUUUCCCUUGUUUGAGCGAGAAGAUGUUGCCACAACAAACAGACUCAUAGGAGCAUCUGCAGAACUCAAAAGUAAUAAAUCAGAAACCAAUAGCACAAGCAAAGGUAAAGCAUAAAAAAAAAACUGAAUUACCUUCUGCUUCAAUGUUUGGGGAGUUGACACCCUGGGAAGAAAGUGGCUCAUCCAUUGGUUGUGAUGAGGAUUCUGGGACUGAAGAUGUCUCUUUAAGCGUAGUCCCUUCAUCAGUCAGUUUGGAUGAAGCAGCCUCAGUGGAGGAUGAUGGAGCAGGGGCUGCCGAUAUCAGAGCCUUUAAAGGAGAAGCCGAAGUUUUCUGAGAAGUCCAAAUAAAUCAUCAGCACACAAGAAAAGUUUCAAGUAUGGAAAAGUAUGGUUGUGAGUAAACCAAUUUAAUUACCUUCCUCCUGAUGAUAAGAGGGGUAUCAUCAUCAUCAUCAACAUCAUCCUCCAGAAUGGGAGAUGCUGAAGCUGGCCGUUUGCGGCUCGGGGCACUUUUGGCUGCAGUAGGCUUGGCAGGGAGAGAAGAAGAUGGACAAGCAGACUGUUUAGCGCGAUGAGGAGGAGAAGGACUCCGGAUGGACAAAGGAGUGACUAAAACAGAAGGAGGGGAAGAAAUGCUCGGCUGGUCCAGUGAAUGAAAGGCACAAUUGGCAUCAGUCGCAAACAAUCUGCGCUUCACUGAUGACCAGAGCUGUUCAAAAAGGGGAUGGAUGGCAUGGCUAGAAUUGAAAGGGGCUAAUGAAAAAUGGCUCGUCAAAAGAAGAUUGCGAGCAUUUAUAACCUCUGCCUCCGCCUUAUUAAUAAUAUGGAAGCGGUCUAUCAAGUUCUUUGAAUAGCAAGGAGGAACAGGCCAAGUUUGGCCGAAAACAAGUUGGCGAGCAAAAAAUUGGGGAGCAUAUAUUUCUACCCCUACCUUGGCAUUGGUCCCAGUCAAAAUAUCAUGAAAUAACUCCCUCCCGGUUAAAAACUUGAUCCAAAUGAGCAGAGAGGUGCUCGCGCUGUCUACAGUGGAGGGAGGAUGCACAUAGUCUAGAGUCAAAAAGUGAGGAAAAGGAAAGAAGGAAGGGAUUGAAUCCAAAGAAUAAAAGAAUGAAAAAAUGUCCCUUCUAAAUAUAUUUACAGGAGACAGGGGCUCAAUGGCUAGCCCAUAGCAGCUAGAAGAAGAACGAGAAAUUGAUGGAGCACCAAGCAAUGGAAAAUAGGAUCUCAACCAUAUUUGAGUGAACUAAAGAGGUCCACUGCUAGUGGGAGAUGCACCAUUCUUCAAUUGAGUUUGAAUAGAAGCCAUGCCUCUAUAGAGGGCAGCCAAAAAGAAAGAACAUAAAUUCAGAGGCCUGCCACGCACUAAUUCGUGCGCUAUGGGUAAAUAGUUCAGGGAGGGCUUUAUGCUUGGCACACACAAAACAUAUUUACAAAGUCAAGCCAGAAGAAAGGUCACUCACUCAGUAUGGGAAGGCUCAGCGCUCGAAUAGUUAUGAAGGGUUUGCAGGCUUGAAUAAGACUCGGUAAGGGUUUUACCAAACUUUGGGGCGCCACCAGAAACCAAGAUACCAGGCAAAAUGGUAUCGCCCAAAGGUGGCAGAUUCACUAGGGCUCCAACAUCCCUUAAAGUAAUAGACAUGGGGCCAAGAGGGAAAACAAAGGUAUUAUAUUCAGAAGACCAAAAAAAGCGAUCAAAAAAAGUGCUGAAUCAAAAGUAGGGGGUUGAAGAGAGAUUUCUAACAAAUCAGAAAUCCUAGCAUUAUCAAAAAGUGCCUUAAUAGGACCAUGGUCCACAAGGCGAGCAUGCCACCUAUGGAAAACUACAUCAGAUUUAGGCCAAGUGCGAAUACUUCUUUCGCGAAGUGGCCCCAGCGGCAGAGAGUUUAGAAAUGGAGGGCCUUGAGUACAAGGAAACAGCUGGCCCACCGCCGCCUGUUCGACUGCCUCUACAUUAUUGAAGAAAGGACCUAGGUAGAACUCAUUGAGUUCGACAAUGGCAGGUGCGAGAAAGUUCGGAGUUAUGUAUGGACGACUAAGGAGUUUCUGAAAGUCAUCAAAACUAAAGGAGUCGCAAGAUUGAGAUUGUGAAGUAGCCAUUAGAGACGAAACAGAGUUUUUAACGUAGCAGGGAAGCAAAGAGAUGAACAGUAAAUUGUGGGAGAGACGCGAAAAAGUGAGGCGUGAUUUAACGGUGCAGUGAAAUGGCGUAUUUGGGGGUUAUAAGGGUUUGCAAAACGUCGCACCUUUUCAAAGCUAUGGAAGAAAACAAUGAUUGAAAUUCUUGUGAAUUUCGAAUGUUGCUGGAAGCACAAAAGUGAAUAUGGCAAAAUUUAAUAAUUGAUAUUAAUUUUGCCAUAUUGGGGGGUAAUUGUUGACGCAUAAAAAUUCAGCCCAAAUCGAACGGCCCAAGGAAUGAAACCCAAUUGGAGGAUCUCCAAAUCAGAUAGCCCAAAGAACGAAGCCCAAUCAAACAAUUCAAGAUGAAGGCCCAAAUAGGGAGGCCCAUGAACGCAGUAACACCAUCGCCCAAACUUGCAAGUCGCCCAGGAUCUGAGGGAAUGGAGUGUCAUGCAGUCACCCAGAGCUGUUACUCUAUUAUCGCCCAAACCUUCGAGUCGCUCGAGGUCUUAGCAAACAUGAAGUAUUGUGGUUAUCUAGAAGCGCAGUUAUCAAAGCAGUUAUUAAAGCAGCCCUAUCACGUUCCACGAUUCAAGGAACUCAAUUGAAGACGGUUGAACGACAAAGAGUAAUGGCAGCAGUUAGAAAAGGCAGUUUCAUGACAAGUUGGCCAUUACGAGGAAAGUGGGCAGUUAUAGAACGAUCAAGCAGUUUUUAGGCGGUUGAUCACAAAGAGAUCAUCCAGAGAGUAUAAAAGGAAAGAAGGACAUAGAGCAAAAAGACCCCGAAUCAAAAACUCUCGAACAGAGAACAUGUAAUUUUAAAUUUCUUAGCUUAAAUUUAAACACUUCUUUCAGUAACUCGUAUGUUUGCGCCUCUUGGAGGCAUUUUGUUUUUAAUUUCCAAUUGUAAAGUCAUCGCCAAUAAAGAACACCCCUUUUUGGGACUUUGUUUCAAGAGGUUUGUCCCUUACACAAUCGUCUGAUCCAUUUUUAAUUGUUAGCGACGAACCCGCGCGAAACAGUUUCAUUUCUAUUGGGAUGAAAUGUGACAUCUAGGUUAACUGGUUAAUUCCAAUAUUAUGAUAUUAAAUGGAGAAAAGCUAACUUGUGUAUCCACGUCAUUUACUCAUUUUUUCUUGUUCACAUCCAAUUCACUCUUCGGUGUAUGAUUUCAAAGGGGGAAAAAAGCUUCAUUUUAUUUCUUGUUUUCCUAGGUUUACACGGUCAUAGAUAUCUUGAUCGUUAAAUUUUGAAACUACCGUGAAUGAUAAAUAGGUUGAUUAUAUUUGAUUAUUGAUGGAUAGGCUUUCAGUGAAGAAAGGUGUUGCAGUAGCAAGCAAGAGCACCGAGGAGAAGGAGAAACCUACUAAGGAUCCUACAAGUCAAAGAUGCCUGCUAAUGCUUUCCUUCAUUUUCAAUUACGAAGUCCCCUCUCGUAAAAAAGAAUCAAAAUAGAUUAAAAAUUUCCAUAUUUAUUUUAUUUUAUUUUAUUCUUGUUCCCAUCAGCUUUUGAUAGCAUCAACAUGUAUAUAUAUUAAAGAUUCUGUCACCGUGCUUUAUUCUAUAUGGUUAGUCGAAGUGUUUUAGUUUAAUUUAUCGCAACUACUUUUAAAAAAGAGCCAAUAGAUAGGGUUCGACAUAACUAUCCUUAUUCCUUUACAUUAAGCACACUAGCAUUAGUUUCAAAUUAACAGGACCCGUGCAUUUCACGGGCAAAGACUAGUCUACUAUAAAGGAGAGGAUGGCAAUUCACAGUUCAUUCUUGUAGCACUUGAUUUCACACUUGAACUAGAUAAUUACUAUUCAUUAAUUAGUUCUGCUAAAUAUUUGAUCUCAACUAUAAAAUGGCUUAUGCUCUCUC
rnacentral:lncRNA from 1 species